rnacentral:rRNA from 1 species
GACGAACGCUGGCGGCGUGCUUAACACAUGCAAGUCGAACGGAAAGGCCCUGCUUUUGUGCGGUGCUCGAGUGGCGAACGGGUGAGUAACACGUGAGUAACCUGCCCUUGACUUUGGGAUAACUUCAGGAAACUGGGGCUAAUACCGGAUAGGAGCUCCUGCUGCAUGGUGGGGGUUGGAAAGUUUCGGCGGUUGGGGAUGGACUCGCGGCUUAUCAGCUUGUUGGUGGGGUAGUGGCUUACCAAGGCUUUGACGGGUAGCCGGCCUGGGAGGGUGACCGGCCACAUUGGGACUGAGAUACGGCCCAGACUCGUACGGGAGGCAGCGGUGGGGAAUAUUGCACAAUGGGCGGAAGCAUGAUGCAGCAACGCCGCGUGCGGGAUGACGGCCUUCGGGUUGUAAACCGCUUUCGCCUGUGACGAAGCGUGAGUGACGGUAAUGGGUAAAGAAGCACCGGCUAACUACGUG